CCCUAGUAACUGCGAGUGAAGCGGGAAAAGCUCAAAUUUAAAAUCUGGUGGUCUUUGAUCAUCCGAGUUGUAAUCUAGAGAAGUGUUAUCCGCGCUGGACCGUGUACAAGUCUCCUGGAAUGGAGCGUCAUAGAGGGUGAGAAUCCCGUCUUUGACACGGACUGCCAGGGCUUUGUGAUGCGCUCUCAAAGAGUCGAGUUGUUUGGGAAUGCAGCUCAAAAUGGGUGGUAAAUUCCAUCUAAAGCUAAAUAUUGGCGAGAGACCGAUAGCGAACAAGUACCGUGAGGGAAAGAUGAAAAGAACUUUGGAAAGAGAGUUAAACAGUACGUGAAAUUGCUGAAAGGGAAACGCUUGAAGUCAGUCGCGUUGGCCGGGGAUCAACCUUGCUUUUGCUGGGCGUACUUUCCGGUUGACGGGUCAGCAUCAAUUUUGACCGUUGGAUAAAGUUNCAGGGAAUGUGGCAUCUUCGGAUGUGUUAUAGCCUUUGUUCGCAUACAACCGGUUGGAAUUNAGGAANNNNNNNNNNNNCAAGGCCGGGUAUUUAUACUACGUUCGUGCUUAGGAUGCUGGCAUAAUGGCUUUAAUCGACCCGUCUUGAAACACGGACCNAGGAGUCUAACAUGCCUGCGAGUGUUUGGGUGGAAAACCCGAGCGCGUAAUGAAAGUGAAAGUUGAGAUCCCUGUCGUGGGGAGCAUCGACGCCCGGACCAGACCUUUUGUGACGGAUCCGCGGUAGAGCAUGUAUGUUGGGACCC
rnacentral:rRNA from 1 species